GAAAAAAGUGUUUCCAAGAGACCGAAAACAAUCGUCACUGGUUUGCUGGAUGGUUUUGAUGAAACCUACAGUAUCGUCACCUAUGAAUGUUCCUCUGAGUGACGACAGCAGCACCUCUGAUACAUCAGCCCUGACAGACACAGUGUGCAGCACUCCAAAGUCAAUAUGAAAUCCAAA